UUUGGAAUUUUGGACAAUGGGCGAAAGCCUGAUCCAGCGACGCCGCGUGGACGAUGAAGGCCUUCGGGUCGUAAAGUCCUUUUGCUCGGGAACAAUAUUUUGAGCGUACCGAGAGAAUAAGAGGUUGCUAACUCUGUGCCAGCAGCAGCGGUAAUACAGAGACCUCAAGCGUUAUCCGGAAUCAUUGGGCGUAAAGCGUACCGACAGGUGGUUUAGAAAGUCAGAAGUGAAAUCUCUCAGCUUAACUGGGAGACUGUCUUUUGAAACUUCUAAACUAGAGGGGCAAAGAGGAAGCUGGAACGAACGGUGUAGUAGUGAAAUGCGUUGAUAUCGUUCGGAACACCGAUAGCGUAGGCAGGCUUCUGGGUGCCACCUGACACUGCUAGGACGAAAGCGUGGGGAGCGAAUGGGAUUAGAUACCCCGGUAGUCC
rnacentral:rRNA from 1 species